rnacentral:rRNA from 1 species
ACAUGCCUACAACAUAGCGUUAAUGCACCAGAUCCCAUUAGAACUUCGCAAUUAAGCGCGCUCAGGCUAUAGUAGUACUAGGAUGGGUGAUCGCCCGGGAAGUCCUAAUGUUUUACAUGCC